AGGGUUUAGAAGAUCUGGUGAAAGGAAAGAGUUUUGUUUCCCAUUGUACCUAGAACAAGGGCCUAGUGACGAGAAACCAGUGGUCAGACAAGGAGAAAGAAGCUAAUGUAAACAAUCAUUUAGUGUGGGCAGCUACUUAAUAAUAUAACUAGGUUGGAAGGGAAGCUUUCUGUGAUCUGGGACAAUUGUAUGGUUUUAUUUUCGUCGGACUACACAUAAGUGUAUUUGUGGUGGACUUUUGUUAAUGAAUUUUAUAAUACACACCUAUUACGCAUAUUUAUUAUAAAGCAUUUUUUUUACUUUUUCACUGGCUUGUUUUACUUUGUAGGAUAGGGAAAGAAACAUUUUGUAUUCAAACCAGUUUUUCAUGAUGCCAAAAAAUUUGCCCCUUCAAAAUCUUAAUGAAUUCUGGGUAAUAUUUUCAAAAUUUAUGCAAAAGUGAUUUGAUUGGUUAGCAGAAUUCUAAAGAAUGAAUAACCAAC
rnacentral:lncRNA from 1 species